rnacentral:rRNA from 1 species
UACCAGACUCCUACGGGAGGCAGCAGUGAGGAAUAUUGGUCAAUGGGCGCGAGCCUGAACCAGCCAAGUCGCGUGAGGGAAGACGGUCCUAUGGAUUGUAAACCUCUUUUGUCAGGGAGCAAAGGGCGCCACAUGUGGCGUUUUGCGAGUACCUGAAGAAAAAGCAUCGGCUAACUCCGUGCCAGCAGCCGCGGUAAUACGGAGGAUGCGAGCGUUAUCCGGAUUUAUUGGGUUUAAAGGGUGCGCAGGCGGAAUGUCAAGUCAGCGGUAAAAUUUCGGGGCUCAACCCCGUCGUGCCGUUGAAACUGGCGUUCUUGAGUGAGCGAGAAGUAUGCGGAAUGCGUGGUGUAGCGGUGAAAUGCAUAGAUAUCACGCAGAACUCCGAUUGCGAAGGCAGCAUACCGGCGCUCAACUGACGCUCAUGCACGAAAGCGUGGGUAUCGAACAGGAUUAGAUACCCGGGUAUUA